ACAGCAGCAGCCGCGGUAAUACGAAGGGUGCAAGCGUUACUCGGAAUUACUGGGCGUAAAGCGUGCGUAGGUGGUGGUUUAAGUCCGUUGUGAAAGCCCUGGGCUCAACCUGGGAAUUGCAGUGGAUACUGGGUCGCUAGAGUGUGUCAGAGGAUGGUGGAAUUCCCGGUGUAGCGGUGAAAUGCGUAGAGAUCGGGAGGAACAUUAGUGGCGAAGGCGGCCAUCUGGGACAACACUGACGCUGAGGCACGAAAGCGUGGGGAGCAAACAGGAUUAGAUACCCGUGUAGUCCCUGUCUCUUAUAC
rnacentral:rRNA from 1 species